rnacentral:rRNA from 1 species
GACGAACGCUGGCGGCGUGCUUAACACAUGCAAGUCGAACGGAAAGGCCCUGCUUUUGUGGGGUGCUCGAGUGGCGAACGGGUGAGUAACACGUGAGUAACCUGCCCUGGACUUUGGGAUAACUUCAGGAAACUGGGGCUAAUACCGGAUAGGAGCUCCUGCUGCAUGGUGGGGUUUGGAAAGUUUCGGCGGUUGGGGAUGGACUCGCGGCUUAUCAGCUUGUUGGUGGGGUAGUGGCUUACCAAGGCUUUGACGGGUAGCCGGCCUGAGAGGGUGACCGGCCACAUUGGGACUGAGAUACGGCACAGACUCCUACGGGAGGCAGCAGUGGGGAAUAUUGCACAAUGGGCGGAAGCCUGAUGCAGCAACGCCGCGUGCGGGAUGACGGCCUUCGGGUUGUAAACCGCUUUCGCCUGUGACGAAGCGUGAGUGACGGUAAUGGGUAAAGAAGCACCGGCUAACUACGUG